GGGGGAUAUUGCGCAAUGGGGGCAACCCUGACGCAGCAACGCCGCGUGAAGGAUGAAGGUUUUCGGAUUGUAAACUUCUUUUAUUAAGGACGAAAAAUGACGGUACACACAGAAUAAGCCACGGCUAACUACGUGCCAGCAGCCGCGGUAAUACGUAGGUGGCAAGCGUUGUCCGGAUUUACUGGGUGUAAAGGGCGUGUAGGCGGGUUUACAAGUCAGAUGUGAAAUACCGGGGCUCAACUCCGGGGCUGCAUUUGAAACUGUAGAUCUUGAGUGUCGGAGAGGAAAGCGGAAUUCCUAGUGUAGCGGUGAAAUGCGUAGAUAUUAGGAGGAACACCAGUGGCGAAGGCGGCUUUCUGGACGAUAACUGACGCUGAGGCGCGAAAGCGUGGGGAGCAAACAGGAUUAGAUACCCUGGUAGUCCACGCCGUAAACGAUGGAUACUAGGUGUAGGAGGUAUCGACCCCUUCUGUGCCGGAGUAAACACAAUAAGUAUCCCACCUGGGGAGUACGGUCGCAAGAUUGAAACUCAAAGGAAUUGACGGGGGCCCGCACAAGCAGUGGAGUAUGUGGUUUAAUUCGAAGCAACGCGAAGAACCUUACCAGGUCUUGACAUCCAACUAACGAAGUAGAGAUACAUUAGGUGCCCUUCGGGGAAAGUUGAGACAGGUGGUGCAUGGUUGUCGUCAGCUCGUGUCGUGAGAUGUUGGGUUAAGUCCCGCAACGAGCGCAACCCUUGCUAUUAGUUGCUACGCAAGAGCACUCUAAUAGGACUGCCGUUGACAAAACGGAGGAAGGUGGGGACGACGUCAAAUCAUCAUGCCCCUUAUGACCUGGGCUACACACGUACUACAAUGGAUGUUAACAGAGGGAAGCAAGACAGCGAUGUGGAGCAAACCCCUAAAAACAUUCUCAGUUCAGAUUGCAGGCUGCAACCCGCCUGCAUGAAGAUGGAAUUGCUAGUAAUCGCGGAUCAGCAUGCCGCGGUGAAUACGUUCCCG
rnacentral:rRNA from 1 species